rnacentral:rRNA from 1 species
AUUGAACGCUGGCGGCAUGCCUUACACAUGCAAGUCGAACGGCAGCACGGACUUCGGUCUGGUGGCGAGUGGCGAACGGGUGAGUAACAUAUCGGAACAUACCCUAGAGUGGGGGAUAACGUAGCGAAAGUUACGCUAAUACCGCAUACGAUCUAAGGAUGAAAGUGGGGGAUCUUCGGACCUCAUGCUCAUGGAGUGGCCGAUAUCUGAUUAGCUAGUUGGUGAGGUAAAGGCUCACCAAGGCGACGAUCAGUAGCUGGUUUGAGAGAACGACCAGCCACACUGGAACUGAGACACGGUCCAGACUCCUACGGGAGGCAGCAGUGGGGAAUUUUGGACAAUGGGGGCAACCCUGAUCCAGCAAUGCCGCGUGAGUGAAGAAGGCCUUC